rnacentral:rRNA from 1 species
UACGGAGGGGGGCAAGCGUUGUUCGGAAUUACUGGGCGUAAAGGGCGCGCAGGCGGCUGCUCAAGUCAGGCGUGAAAAGGCCUGGGCUCAACCCCGGGAAUUGCGCUUGAGACUGGGCUGGCUUGAGUGCGGGAGAGGAUGGUGGAAUUCCCAGUGUAGAGGUGAAAAUUCGUAGAUAUUGGGAAGAACACCGGUGGCGAAGGCGGCCAUCUGGACCGCAACUGACGCUGAGGCGCGAAAAGCGUGGGGGAGCAAACAGG